rnacentral:rRNA from 2 species
UGGGGAAUUUUGCGCAAUGGGGGCAACCCUGACGCAGCAACGCCGCGUGCGGGAUGACGGCCUUCGGGUUGUAAACCGCUUUCAGAAGGGAAGAAUUUAGACGGUACCUUCAGAAGAAGCUCCGGCUAACUACGUGCCAGCAGCCGCGGUAAUACGUAGGGAGCAAGCGUUAUCCGGAUUUAUUGGGCGUAAAGCGCGCGUAGGCGGCUUGUUAAGUCAGGUGUUAAAGGCAAGGGCUCAACCCCUGUUCGCACCUGAAACUGGCAGGCUUGAGUUUGGUAGAGGAAAACGGAAUUCCCAGUGUAGCGGUGAAAUGCGCAGAUAUUGGGAAGAACACCGGUGGCGAAGGCGGUUUUCUGGGCCACAACUGACGCUGAGGUGCGAAAGCUAGGGGAGCAAACAGG